CAGCGUGUCUGUGAUUCGGAGUGCGUCUCUCUGUCUCUGUCUCUGUCUCACAUCUCCUAGGCAGACCCAGGAGGAUUCCAGCCUCUCUUCUCCACUGCACUAGCUCAGCAGAGCCCUGGUUGCUUGUCCUUCCUGCCUUUCAGCCGUCGCACAGAAAUGGAGUUGGUGCCACCUCAAGUUGGUGUGUGAAUCUGCCUCUGUUGACAGUAGCUGGUAGAGCUCAUGUGGCCUGAAAAACUCCACAGGGGUGAAGAAUUAAAAUUAAUGAGGUAAAGAGGCUGAAGUAAAAGUAGGUUCAGGUAUAGAACUGGAUAAGAUUAAAAGUCAACUAAAAAUUUGGACCAGUUUUGAUAUGUUUGUGAGUGUGUACAUGUGGAGUUAGUGGUUUAUUUGGGGUCAGAUUAUAUCCUCCAAAUAAUAAAGUGAGCGUUGUGAUAAUUUAAUUUAGGCAUUCAAAUAUAAUUAAAUAACAUUAAUUCAAACUA